AGGUGAUCUAUCCAUGGCCAGGUUGAAGCGACGGUAAGACGUCGUGGAGGACCGAACCCACUUCUGUUGAAAAAGGAGGGGAUGAGCUGUGGAUAGGGGUGAAAGGCCAAUCAAACCUCGUGAUAGCUGGUUCUCUCCGAAAUGCAUUUAGGUGCAGCGUCUUGUGUUUCUCUCUGGAGGUAGAGCUACUGGAUAGCCGAUGGGCCCUAAAAGGUUACUGACGUUAGCCAAACUCCGAAUGCCAGAGAGUGAGAACAAGGCAGUGAGACUGCGGGGGAUAAGCUUCGUAGUCGAAAGGGAAACAGCCCAGACCACCAACUAAGGCCCCCAAGCGCUUGCUAAGUGGGAAAGGAUGUGGAGUUGCGAAGACAACCAGGAUGUUGGCUUAGAAGCAGCCACCAUUAAAAGAGUGCGUAAUAGCUCACUGGUCAAGUGAUUCCGCGCCGACAAUAUAACGGGGCUCAAGCAAGUCGCCGAAGUUGUGGAAUUCGUACAUUGCUAGGUCGAAAGAUCCAGGCGUACGGAUUGGUAGGAGAGCGUCGUGUGGCGAGCGAAGCGGCGGGGUGACCCAGCCGUGGACGCCACACGAGUGAGAAUUCAGGAAUGAGUAGCGAAAUGCGGGUGAGAAACCCGCACCCCGAAAGACUAAGGGUUCCAGGGCCAGGCUAAUCCGCCCUGGGUAAGUCGGGACCUAAGGCGAGGCCGACAGGCGUAGUCGAUGGACAACGGGUUGAUAUUCCCGUACCGGCGAAGAACCGACCAAACUAAUCCAGUAAUGCUAAGUUGCUGAAGCUGUUUACUGAUGCCUUCGGGCUGAGGUGAAAAGUGGAGCCAACGACCCUAUUCUGGUGCGGUUAACGUAUUAACAGGUGUGACGCAGGAAGGUAGCCUCCGCGGGGCGAUGGUUGUCCCCGUUUAAGGAUGUAGGGCGAGAGAUAGGCAAAUCCGUCUCUCACAUAGCCUGAGAUCUGAUGAUGAGUCCUUAUGGACGAAGUGGGUGAUCCUAUGCUGCCAAGAAAAGCAUCGACGUGAGGUUCUAGCUGCCCGUACCCCAAACCGACUCAGGUAGUCAAGUAGAGAAUACUAAGGGGAUCGAGAGAAUCGUGGUUAAGGAACUCGGCAAAAUGCCCCCGUAACUUCGGGAGAAGGGGGGCCUGAGGUGUGAAGACAUUUACUGUUGGAGCACUGUAUGGCCGCAGAGACCAGUGGGGAGCGACUGUUUAUCAAAAACACAGGUCCGUGCGAAGUCGCAAGACGAUGUAUACGGACUGACGCCUGCCCGGUGCUGGAAGGUUAAGAGGAUGGGUUAGCUUCGGCAAAGCUCAGAAUUUAAGCCCCAGUAAACGGCGGUGGUAACUAUAACCAUCCUAAGGUAGCGAAAUUCCUUGUCGGGUAAGUUCCGACCUGCACGAAUGGCGUAACGACUCCCCAACUGUCUCAACCGCGAACUCGGCGAAAUUGCACUAUGAGUGAAGAUGCUCAUUACGCGCAGAAGGACGAAAAGACCCCGUGACCUUUACUAUAGCUUGGUAUUGGUGUUCGGUGCUGCAUGUGUAGGAUAGGUGGGAGACUAUGAAGCUUGGACGCUAGUUCAGGUGGAGUCAUUGUUGAAAUACCACUCUUGUAGCCCUGGAUAUCUAACCGCGAACCGUGAUCCGGUUCCGGGACAGUGCCUGGUGGGUAGUUUAACUGGGGCGGUUGCCUCCUAAAAAGUAACGGAGGCGCCCAAAGGUUCCCUCAGCCUGGUUGGUAAUCAGGUGUCGAGUGUAAGUGCACAAGGGAGCUUGACUGUGAGACUGACAAGUCGAGCAGGGACGAAAGUCGGGACUAGUGAUCCGGCAGUGGCUUGUGGAAGCGCUGUCGCUCAACGGAUAAAAGGUACCUCGGGGAUAACAGGCUGAUCUUGCCCAAGAGUCCAUAUCGACGGCAUGGUUUGGCACCUCGAUGUCGGCUCGUCGCAUCCUGGGGCUGUAGUUGGUCCCAAGGGUUGGGCUGUUCGCCCAUUAAAGCGGCACGCGAGCUGGGUUCAGAACGUCGUGAGACAGUUCGGUCUCUAUCCUCUGCGCGCGCAGGAAAUUUGAGAAGACCUGACCCUAGUACGAGAGGACCGGGUUGGACAAACCUCUGGUGUGUCAGUUGUACUGCCAAGUGCACCGCUGAUUAGCUACGUUUGGGAGAGAUAACCGCUGAAAGCAUCUAAGCGGGAAGCUUGCUUCAAGAUGAGAUUUCCAUGACUUUAU
rnacentral:rRNA from 1 species